rnacentral:lncRNA from 1 species
UCGCCGCACCACCCCAUCUCGGCCGGAUCGCGCCUCGCCGGAGCAAGGUAACGGCUCUGGUCUUUCUCAUAUUCCUUCCGUUAGCCGAAAUCCGGCGAAAGAUCACCAAAAACAUCCCCAUGCCUCUCUCUUGUCAGUGGCCGUUCUAUCGCCGCCGUGCUGUCGGCCCUCCGGCUGCAACCGCCGGUCAUCCGGCCACAUCUGUCGUCGGAGGUCUCCUCCUCCCCUCCCCUGCUUCAUGGUGGGGCCGGUUCACAUCCCCUGUUCCGCCAAAGAAAAAGGAGGAGAGGGCGAUGAAGAAGAGAGGAAAAAGAAAGGAAGAAAGAAAGAAAAAGAAAAUGAAAAAAAAAAAAAAAGAGAAGAGAAAAGAGGAAAGAGAAAAUUGGGAAAAAUUAUAUAUAGGUAAAUAAAAGUUAGAGAGAGAUUUCAUUCUUGGUUCAACUUCUCUCUUCACCUGACCUAUAGAUCUUAUUAAAGAGUCCUAGUUUGAUGUUGCAGCGACAGAUUGGACUAGUCUUUUCUACCUCUUUACUUAGUUUGGGCUUGAAGCCUACUCAAUUCUAUUUCUGUCUCUAGAGUUUUUUAAAUUAUAUUUAGAUUUUCAAAUAGUUGACUAUCAAUUUAUUUAUCUUCUUAAACAGUUUUGGAUAGGUAUAACCGAUUUGCCCAACUGAACCUAUUGAUCUUUGGACGAACAGAAGUAAGUGACUCUUGCACAAAUCUUGCUAAUUCUUGAAUUAUUGAUCAAUUUAAUUUAUAUGAAAUAGAAAAAUAUAAAUUAUAGUGAUGUGACUGGCUCUGCAUUCUUUUAAAAAUUUAGGAUCCAUGAUUAUGAUAAAUUCAUAUCUUAGUAUUGUGCUUUACUGUGGAUGAUUUUUGCAUGAAUUACAUUCUCUAAAAUUAUGGGAAAAAAUUGUAUGCUACUAUAAAAUGAUUUAUAUGACAAGAUUAUGCUUUUUAAACUUUUAAAAUGCUAUUAAGCAUGUUUUCAACCUAAUUAUAUUGGUAUGAUUUAUGAAAAAUAUGAAAUAUUUUAUGAGCUCUCAAAUAGUUAUAACCGCCCCUAGAAACAUGGGCCAAUCGA